GCAUUAAGUACUCCGCCUGGGGAGUACGCUCGCAAGAGUGAAACUCAAAGGAAUGACGGGGACCCGCACAAGUAGCGGAGCAUGUGGUUUAAUUCGAAGCAACGCGAAGAACCUUACNUAAGCUUGACAUCCCAAUGACCUCUCCCUAAUCGGAGAUUUCCCUUCGGGGACAUUGGUGACAGGUGGUGCAUGGUUGUCGUCAGCUCGUGUCGUGAGAUGUUGGGUUAAGUCCCGCAACGAGCGCAACCCUUGUCUUUAGUUGCCAUCAUUAAGUUGGGCACUCUAGAGAGACUGCCAGGGAUAACCUGGAGGAAGGUGGGGAUGACGUCAAAUCAUCAUGCCCCUUAUGCUUAGGGCUACACACGUGCUACAAUGGGUGGUACAGAGGGCUGCUAAACCGUAAGGUCAUGCCAAUCCCUUAAAGCCAUUCUCAGUUCGGAUUGUGGGCUGAAACUCGCCCACAUGAAGCUGGAGUUACUAGUAAUCGCAGAUCAGAAUGCUGCGGUGAAUGCGUUCCCGGGUCUUGUACACACCGCCCGUCACACCACGGAAGUUGGAAACACCCGAAGCCGAUUAUCUAACCCUUGGGAGGAAGUCGUCGAAGGUGGCAUCAAUAACUGGGGUG
rnacentral:rRNA from 1 species